AACGCAUCUUGCGCUCUUUGGUUAUUCCGAAGAGCAUGCCUGUUUGAGUGUCGCGAACCUCUCAACCCCGCUUAUGCUUAGGCACAAGUAGUUUGGGCUUGGAUCAUGGUUGUUGCCGGCUUGUAUUAGCCUUGGCUCAACUUAAAUACAACAAGUUGAAUAGACCAGUACUGCGGCUUGUACCCAAUGUUGUAGACAAAACAUCUCGUUGGGGACGCUUUACUAUAAUCGAGUCUAACGAACUUAAGAAGUCGUUGUGGUCAUCUCUUCGGGGAUCCGCAGCCUUUUUGCAAUCAGACCUCAAAUCAGGUAGGACUACCCGCUGAACUUAA
rnacentral:misc_RNA from 1 species